rnacentral:rRNA from 1 species
AGAAUCAACGCUGGCGGCGUGCCUAACACAUGCAAGUCGAGCGAGAAAAGGUAGCAAUACCCUAGUAAAGCGGCGCACGGGUGAGUAACACGUGGAUAACCUGCCUCGAAGUGGGGAAUAACCCCGGGAAACCGGAGCUAAUACCGCAUAAUCCGACGGAGUCUGAGGACUUUGCCGGCAAAGGAGCAAUUCGCUUUGAGAGGGGUCCGCGGCUGAUUAGCUAGUUGGUGAGGUAAUGGCUCACCAAGGCCACGAUCAGUAGCCGGUCUGAGAGGACGGUCGGCCACACUGGAACUGAGACACGGUCCAGACUCCUACGGGAGGCAGCAGUGGGGGAAUUUUUCGCAAUGGGGGCAACCCUGACGAAGCAACGCCGCGUGGGUGAUGAAGUAUCUCGGUACGUAAAACCCUUUCGACGGGGACGAAGCCGCAAGGUUGACGGUACCCGUAGAAGAAGCCCCGGCUAACUCCGUGCCAGCAGCCGC